GUUAAUAUAAGAUUUAAUAAACAGGAUAAUCAAAUUGAUAAAGACUGCAUUGGUGAGAAGACGAAGACGGAUUUGCAUGACAAGAAGGAUCCUGAUGGUAGAGGUAGUGAUGAUGGAAGAGAAGAAGUUAAUUAUACCUUUGAUGAGAUAUUUUACAUGGGAUUUGUUUUCUGUCUGCCAG